CUAUUAUUCAAAGCUAAUCGCUGAUCUCCUAAGAUCUACGGAUAUCAGCGAGCAUUAUAUAGUUGGCCGCCACCACGCACUACGGCCGCCUGUAAUGCCGUUGUGCUUUGUCCAUCCUCGUUAAUUCUGGGGUGUUCUGCGUCCUUCUAUCGCCACGUAGCUACCCCCCAACAUAGACACCUCCGUUGUGUCUAUUACACCUCAGAAGCAACUCGACAUAGCAAAAUUCUCCUCUCAAUUACUUCUAUACCUAUUCUUCUGACUUCAAGAAAGAUAUCAAGUCACAAUGGCUACAGAUUUGAAAAGCAAAGCAUACUUUGAGCAUAAAAUAAUGACUGGGGAAAGCCUUUUAAAAAAUUGAAUCAUUUCAUGAAUAUUGCGCAAUUUUUGAAAUGAGAAUGGUGGUCCAUUCCCCAGAAAGCAUCCGGAUUGAAUUAUAUGGUUUUACUGUAUUCAAAGAUUCAUAAUUGGGAGUAUAUUGAUGGGCUAAUGAUGAGACAGCAGUCAGUGAGGAUGACUUUGUGGACGACAAACAAUAGCCAUAGUAGAGCUCAGAAAGGUGUUUUAAAUGUUAGAGAAGGGAUGAAUCAUGUACAGUACAAAAUGUCAAUGAAGGAGAAAAAGAGGUG
rnacentral:sRNA from 2 species